UAGCACCGUGCGAGAAAAAGAGCGGAAAAAAAAAUCAGAUAGCUCAACCUGAUUGGCUAAAAGAAAGAAUCUCGCACAGACACAGAGGCAAAUGCAGAUGAACGUCGAUCCUCCAAAAUUCAAUCAUAGGAAUCGUGUUUUCUUCAGAACAGAGCGAGAAGAUGGAAAACAGUGAGGAACAGAAGUACGGAGUUCGGAAAUUAGAGAUCUCAGACAAGAGCAAAGGCUUCAUCGAGUUGCUGCAGCAACUCAGCGUUUGCGAUUCCGUCUCUGACACAGACUUCGAGAAUCGAUUUCGAGAGCUCAGUGCCGUUGGAGAUGAUCACGUUAUCGGCGUGAUUGAAGACGAGCCUUCUGGAAAGAUUAUUGCGACGGGGAGCGUGUUUAUUGAGAAGAAAUUUUUGAGAAAUUGCGGCAAAGUUGGGCACAUUGAGGACGUUGUUGUGGAUUCCAGUGCACGUGGGAAGCAUUUGGGAAAGAGAAUCAUCAGCUUCCUGACGGAGCAUGCGCGUUCCAUGGGAUGCUAUAAGGUCAUUCUUGAUUGCAGCGUCGACAAUAAGGCGUUCUACGAGAAAUGUGGCUUCCACAACAAAUCCAUUCAGAUGGCUAUGUAUUUUGCUCACUAGUUUGCUACUGUCUCGCCUUCGUUGAUGUUGGAGUUGACAAGCCCUGGGAGGCUAAUAAUGUUGGGAAACCAUAUGAACGCAUUCCGGUGCUAGGCAAAGGAAGUCAGACUAAUGACCAGUUUGUGAGCCUUUUUCAAGUUUUAUUAUAUUAAUGUAAUUUGAAGUGAACGUGAGGAGCUGGAAGCACUUUCUAUUUUUUGCACUAAAUACCUUAUGCUUGUCUCUUUCAGGCUUGUGCAUGGUUUCAUUUUCUGGCCUUUGAACCAUUGCAGAAUUCUGUAUUUUUUUAAAAGAUUUAUCUGGAAUCAUUGUUAUGCUAA